rnacentral:rRNA from 1 species
GAUGAACGCUGGCGGCGUGCCUAAUACAUGCAAGUCGAGCGAACAGACGAGGAGCUUGCUCCUCUGACGUUAGCGGCGGACGGGUGAGUAACACGUGGAUAACCUACCUAUAAGACUGGGAUAACUUCGGGAAACCGGAGCUGAUACCGGAUAAUAUAUUGAACCGCAUGGUUCAAUAGUGAAAGACGGUUUUGCUGUCACUUAUAGAUGGAUCCGCGCCGCAUUAGCUAGUUGGUAAGGUAACGGCUUACCAAGGCAACGAUGCGUAGCCGACCUGAGAGGGUGAUCGGCCACACUGGAACUGAGACACGGUCCAGACUCCUGCGGGAGGCAGCAGUAGGGAAUCUUCCGCAAUGGGCGAAAGCCUGACGGAGCAACGCCGCGUGAGUGAUGAAGGUCUUCGGAUCGUAAAACUCUGUUAUUAGGGAAGAACAAAUGUGUAAGUAACUAUGCACGUCUUGACGGUACCUAAUCAGAAAGCCACGGCUAACUACGUG